CGUGAGACGGGCGAGGUAGAGGGUGUGUAGGGUAGGGGGGGGGCGAUAAUGGGAAUUACGGGGCGUAAAGCGGGCGCGGGCGGUGUGGUAAGACAGGUGUGAAAGCCCCGGGCGUAACCUGGGAACGGCGCUUGUGACUGCACAGCUAGAGUAGGGAAGAGGGGGGUGGAAUUCCUGGUGUAGCAGUGAAAUGCGUAGAGAUCAGGAGGAACAUCGAUGGCGAAGGCAGCCCCCUGGGCCUGUACUGACGCUCAUGCACGAAAGCGUGGGGAGCAAACAGGAUUAGAUACCCGGGUAGUC
rnacentral:rRNA from 1 species